rnacentral:rRNA from 1 species
UGUAAGCGUAUACCAAAGUUGUUGCAGUUAAAACGCUCGUAGUCGGAAUUUGGCAGUUCCGGAUGUGUGCACGUCGUGUGCGCACUUCGCGGGGAUUGCUUUUGUGGUCUUGCGUAGGAUGAGGCACUUUUAUUAGUGAACGUCCUCACGCAACCACUUUUUACUGUGAGAAAAUCAGAGUGCUCAAAGCAGGUAUUUGCCGUGAAUGUAUUAGCAUGGAAUAAUAGAAUAGGACUCGGUUCUAUUUUGUUGGUUUGUUGGGACUGAGUAAUGAUUAAGAGGGACAGUUGGGGGCAUUUGUAUUUCGGCGCUAGAGGUGAAAUUCUUAGAUUGCCGAAAGACAAACUGCUGCGAAAGCGUCUGCCAAGGAUGUUUUCAUUGA